UAGGACUUUGAAGUAAAUACUAACUUUGCUCGUUUGGCGAUGGCCUUCUGGUGCGGUUUUCUAUCAUCCCCAGAUGAAAUCUCUGGAGUCCGCAAGUUAACUUUAUUUUCUACCCCAAAUGAGUCAAAGGAAGAAAAGUUAUACCGUGAGCAGCUUUCUCGACUGCAAAACUUCCACCACCUCUUUUGGCAAGACAAUAAUUAUAAGUUUUUUAAAAUCACUGCCGAGCUUCAAGAGCUCAAAAGGAAAUGGCUUUUAAGAAAUCAAACUUUUAUUAGAGCGAGCCCUACUGAAGCUAAAACAAAGCUCGAAAUUUUUCUAGAAGAAGAAGAAGUCAAGCUUUAUCGCAAAUUUAUGGUCUUGCAAAAGCAAAAGGUAAGGAACUACACGAUUCAGUGGUGG